rnacentral:rRNA from 1 species
CAAUAGCGUAUAUUUAAGUUGUUGCAGUUAAAAAGCUCGUAGUUGGAUUUCUGGUUGAAGCGACCGGUCGGGCGUUGAUUCGUCUGCACUGGAGUCGGUUUUGGCCAUCCUCUAGGAAAGUGCGUCUGGUAUUAAGUUAUCGGGCGUAUGAUCCUGGUCUUUUACUGUGAAAAAAUUAGAGUGUUUAAAGCAGGCCUUCGCCUUGAAUACAUUAGCAUGGAAUAAUAAGAUAGGACUUUGGUCUAUUUUGUUGGUUUGCAGACCGAAGUAAUGAUUAAUAGGGAUAGUUGGGGGUAUUUAUAUUCCGAUGUCAGAGGUGAAAUUCUUAGAUUUUCGGAAGAUAAACUUAUGCGAAAGCAUUUACCAAGGAUGUUUUCAUUAA